rnacentral:lncRNA from 10 species
AAAAAGGGUUUGGCCAGGUGCAGUGGCUCACGCCUGUAAUCCCAGCACUUUGGGAGGCGGAGGCGGGUGGAUCACUUGAGGACAGGAGUUUGAGACCAGCCUGGCCAACAUGGCAAAACCUUGUCUCUACUAAAAAUACAAACAUUAGCCUGGCACGGUGGCAGGUGCCUGUAAGCCUAGCUACUUGGGUGGCUGAGGCAGGAGAAUCGCUUGAACCUGGGAGGCAGAGGUUGCAGUGAGCCAAGAUUAUGCCACUAUACUUGAGCCUGGGCGAUAGAGUGAGACUCUGACUCAAAAAAAAAAAAAGAAAGAAAGAAAAAAAGGAUUCAAACCAAACGAAUUGACACCUGUUAGAUGAGUGAUAGGUUCACAUGUGAUCUGAGAAAACACGCACACGCCUGCCAUGUGCACUGGCAAUAUAAGAAUAUUUUAUGUGAUGCACUUAGGAGAGAGAAAUAUAAUCCUACCAAAGCAAAAUUAAACUUAAUAGAAAAAUAUUUUAUACUGGUUCAGUUUUAAAAUUUUAAAAAUUAAGGAAACCUAAAAAGUUGGGCUCCCCAUUCACAUUAGCUACAUUGCUAGUGCUCAUUUGCCACACGUGGCCAGUGGCCAGUGGCUACUGGAUUGAACAGUGUAGCUCCGUGUAGAUCUAUCAAACAACGAUAAAUUGUCUACGCAAUUCCACUGCUCAGUAUCUUCUCUAAAGAAACUCUGUCCAGGUGCACAGAAGGUAUGUAGGAAGAUGUUUCCCGCAACAUUGUUUAUAACAGUCACUAAGGAGAACAACCCACAUAUCCACCAACUGGGUAUGGCAAAAAAAAAAAAAAAAAAUUGUGGUGUAUCUAUUCUAAGGAAUCGUAUGCCACAAUUUAAAAUAGACACAUUCGCCAGGCGCCGUGCCUCACGCCUGUAAUCCCAGCACUUUGGGAGGCUGAGUCAGGCAGAUCACCUGAGGUUGGGAGUUCGAGACCAGCCUGACCAACAUGGAGAAACCCUGUCUCUACUAAAAAUACAAAAUCAGCCACACAUGGUGGCCUGUGCCUGUAAUCCCAGCUACUCAGGAGGCUGAGGCAGGAGAAUCGCCUGAACCUGGGAGGCGGAGGUUGCGGUGAGCUGAGAUCGUGCCAUUUCACUCCAACCUGGGCAACAAGAGGAAAACUCCAUCUCAAAAAAAAAAAAAAAAAAAAAAAAAACAUAAAAUAGACACAUUGGCACGGUGACUCACCCCUGUAAUCCCAGCACUUUGGGAGGCCAUAGUGGGAAGAUCACUUGAGCCCAGGAGUUUGAGACCAGCCUGGGCAACAUAGUGAGACACCCCCUCCCCCCGCCAUCUUAACAAAAGAAAAAGAAAUUUAAAAAUAAAAAAUAAAAUAAAAUAAAAAUAGGCACAUGGUUAGAUUGCUAAGACAUAUUACUAGGUGGGGAGGAAAAAAGAAAGUUGUACAAUGUGAUGUCAUUUUAAAAAUUGAUGAUAGAUGCCAGGUCUGAUGGCUCCCAAGGGAGGAUCGCUUGAGGUCAGGAGUUUGAGACCAGUCUGGGCAACAUAGCAAGACCCCCUCUCUAAAAAAAAAAAAAAAUUAAUUAAAAAAACUUUUUGAUGAUGGAUAGAUAGAGACACAGAAAGAUACCAGAGAAUGGUUCUCUCUGUGCCUCUAUGAAAGGAGAGAGGGAACUUAGAUGAACUUGGAUUUAAUAAGAAGAAUGCAUGUAUGUAUUACUCAUAUAAUUAAAAUUAAUUUAGAAUAAAAGAACUUGGAGAGAGGAAACUUAGAUGAACUUGGAUUUAAUAAGAAGAACGCAUGUAUGUAUUACUCAUAUAAUUAAAAUUAAUUUAGAAUAAAAGAACUUAAGAAAGGAAACUCUUGAUCAAAAUGAAAAGAUGAACAAAAAACCAAUUAAGUAGAAUUCACUGCAAUCCCGAUUAUAUGGUGGCUAGAUAAGUGUUAUCCCAUGGCGUAAUAUUUAAUGCAAAUGUCAAAAGUAAUUCUCCAAAAAGAAGAUACAGAAAUUAUAUGGUGGCCUUUCUGUAAACUGAAACUGGGAAAUGCUAGUAAUCAAAACUAAUUUAUGAGGCUUUUCUCCACCAGUGUUUUGGCUAAUAUCCAGGUUACCCAUCCCAAGCUGCUAUUACAUUAAAACCUCCAGACCUCAGCACCGAUUGGCAUCCAACCCACUGACUGCAACAUUUUCCAGCAUACCAAUUGUUCUUAUAGCCCUUGUUUUCAUAAUCACUGUCCUUUUUCUUUGGUGUUCUUCAUCUAUCCCAUAAAUACAUAUGUUGAUUAAGUGGUAAUUAUUAGGCAACUGGACCCAAACAGCAUAUGAAAGACGGAAUAAGAGGGGGAAAGAUCUAAGAGUGUUUUGGGAUCCUCAACGUGCCUGUCUUUACAUUAGAGAAACCCAGUUUUAAAUUAAUAGUGCUAGUUCUCUACCUCCCUGUAGAUUAAGUUUACCCCAGGGAAAACAGGACAUGGAUUGAUCGUUUAAUCCUUAUCCCAAACUCAAAAUUACCCUUGCACUAUCUGACAUUGAUUGAGUAAAUAGAUUAGCCAAGAAAGACAAUUCAAUCAGCAGAGAGGCCUGAGAAUUCUCUUGAACUUUGUUUAAAAGCACCCUGAAAUUUGAGCUUCUUGGGAGCAUUUGCUU